AUAAUUUUGGACCUCACAAUAUUAUACUAGCUAGUAAGACCUAGCUAGAAUAAGAAGAAGAAAGAAAAUAUUUUAAUAUAAUGUUGUUUCCAUUUUGAACUAAGUUUUAUGGUCCCUUUUCUUUUUGGAUGAAAAUGUAAUACCUAUUUUAAGUAAAAAGUAGGAGCAUUCUCAAGUUUAUCCAAACUCAUGUUACAAGUGAAAAAUGUGUGCCUUUUUUCCAUGGAAAAUAUUCUUGAUGGUAAAUUUGGCCAAUGUCUUGUCACUCCCUCUUUUAAGCAUGUUGAUUCUGCCAGCAUGUUCUUCUCAAUUUGGAUUUCCUUUUUCUUUCUUUUUAUUGAACUUCACCUUCUAACAUCCACAUCCUAUGCCAGGACCAACACUAAUGCAACACAAUGUGGUCAAUCAUCUUUUGCCUAACAUUUGAAGCAAAUUACAUUGAAAUAACAUGCACAACAAAGGCUUAAACAUCCACAAGUGAAAUCCAUCUAUUCCAUAUGAUUUAUUUUUUGUUAGUGGUUUAAAAAAGAAUGACACAUUUUUGUAUUUGGUAACAAUUUAACUUAAAAAAUAUUUAUUUUACCUUUACACCUUGUUUGGAUGGUUGUUACCCGUUGUAUUAUAUUGUAUUGUUAGUUUAGAUAUAAUGUUUGUUUUGGUUGUUACUUAAAUUCUAUCGUUUACAUCCAUCAUUAUGUAACGACGAAAAGACGAUUUGGUGUGAUCGCGUCGUUGUCUUAAUAUUUUAUUCUCAAUUAUCUUUAUUUAUUAUUUAAUAAUCAUAUUUCAUCUUUUAUCCUACAUUUUCAUAAUAGUUCUACCCGUCCCGUACCCUACUUAUCUUGUAGGUUUCUCACUCAAAUUAUGGAUGUGUGACAUACUGACAUUAUGUAACGACGAAGAACGAUACAAUCUAUCCAAACAAUGUAUUCAUUAAAGCAAUACUAUACGAUACAAUACAACAUAAUACGAUACAUUAUGAAACAAUAUGUAACAACCAUCCAAACUAAGUAUUAAUGAAAUGAUUUAUAGUAACACAUUCCUUAAUUUAUUUUGAGGUACAAGUUUUAUAAGUUUUUCUUUCAUAAAUUUCGUGUCAAAUCAAACCAUAUCACAUAAAUUAAGUGUAGCGAAUAUGAUUUAGAGGAGCACAUACUCUUUCCAAAGUUAGGCGUUUGACCAAAGUAUUUGAGAGCCUAAUUUCAAGUUUUGAUUUCAAUCAACAUUGUUAAAGUUGUAUAAAAUUUCAGUUUCUAACUUUAAAUCAUGAUUUCAAAUCUCAAAUUCUCUAAAAUAGGAUUUGUAAUUUCAAAUUAUGAUCUCAAUUUUUCUUAAAUAUAAAACUUGACUCACAAAUUUAUAUUUUAUAUAAAAAAAAACCCCCAUAAUUUUAAAUUUUAUAAAAAAAAAGAGACUCAUGUUUGACAUAGUGUACUAUGUGAGAGGAUUUAUCAAAGAAUAACUACUAUUCUUGAUUUAGUUUACCAGUAAAUCUUUGUAAAAUGAUGUGUAUUUAAAAGUUUGAAUAACAUGUAAUCACAAAAACAUAUUAAUAAAAGGAAAUGUAAUUUUAAUUUAUUAAUUCGGCAUGUUAGGAUAUCUCGGUACCUUAAUUUUGAACUAUGAUUUGCUCACUUAAUAAAAUUGUAUAAGAGUUGGAGAAGCUCAUCAAUUAUGAGGUUUUCAUGUUAUAUAUAUAACUUAAAAAGUCUAAAUUAUAUGUCCAAACAAAAUUUCAAUCUCAGAUUAACUUGAUUUCCUUGAAAAAUCUUUUUUUUUCCUUCUUCCAGAACAAGUGAAAAAUUUGAUGUUUGGCACUUGGUUUGGCAUCUUUCACAGAGAAGGCAACUGAUAGGGUGGGCAAAGAGUUUACUUUAUACUCUUUCUUCUCCCAUUGAAACAAUGGGUCCCAUAUCUAUCUUCAAGUGGAUUACUUAUGAUUAAUUAAGGAACACUUGUUGUCCAUUAACUUUUAUGGCUAAACUUUAUUUUGUUUUCCUAACACUUCUAACUAUAAAUCAAGAAUUAAAAUUUCCUUGGCUGAAUAUUUGUUGAUAUAUACUGUCCAUUCCUUAACCAUUUUAAAGAGUAUCAAGAUUGAAUUUAUAUAUAUUUUUCAUAUGUCAUUUGAACUUAUAGUUGAUUUUAAUUUAAAUAUGGCCUAUAAUUAAACUGUAACGGUCUGUUAAGUCAUUUAUUAUAGUAAAGAGUCGCAUCAUAUGCAUUGCAUCAUGACUAUUAUUUGGGCAUAUGUCACUUGUUGAAUUUGUGCAUGACAUCUAUAUAUGUUGAUUUGCACUCCUUCUCUUAUUUUUAAUAUGUUUUCGUCGCGGUUUUCUUUUUCUUUGUAUAUGAAAUUGAUGUAUUGGAUAGAGAGUCUUUUAAAAACGACUUCUAUACCUCCAUGAGAUAGUGAUAAGAUCUGCAUACACUUUAUUCUUCUCAAGUCUUAAGAAAAUUUGAAUCAUGAAUAUGAGUUUUUUAUACUCAAGAAUAUGUGGUUUUUUCACAAAAUCUCAAAGGAAAUAAAAAGAAGGUAUCUCCAAAAUUAUGAUUAUUAUAAAAGAAGAUGAUAGAAUUAGAACUUUUAUGGAAAACAAAUAUAGAAGAAAGAGAUUUAAAUUUUUUUAGAUAAAAAUCCACUUUACGUACCUUAAUCUACAGAGAAUACAGAGAAACUGACGAGGAUAGAUAAGAAGUCAUCAUUUAUUAAAAAAAAUAAAAAAGUAAAGAGAAAGAAAAAUAAAUAACAAAAUAAAAAGAAAUUUAAUUUUGUGACUAGCCGCUAGGGGUGUACAUGACCGGGUUGGUUUGGAUUUUUCAAAUAUCAAAACCAAAACCAUUUUGUGUAAAAUUUUUUAAAUUUAUAAACCAAACCAAACUAAUAAAAUUUGGAUUUUUUCGGGGUUUUUCAACCUCGGGGUUGGUUCGGGUUUUUCAAAAUACCAAAUCAAACCAUUGUGUCGAAUUUUUAAUUUAUAAAUCAAACCAAACUAAUAAACCUCGAAUUUUUUCAGAUUUUUGGAUUUUUUCGGUAAAGUUUGCGUACAAACAUAUAAUUAACUUGUGCUCCAAAUAUUUCUUUAGUCCAACCAAAAUACAAUUAUAGAAGGUGUUUCUUAAAGAAUAACACAAAAUAUGAGAUGAGUAUUGAUGACACCAAAAUAUUCAAUAAAAAAUAAUAAUGAAAUCAUCAUAUAAAAUAAAUAUUGCAAAAGUCAUAAUGAAAAUGAUCAUAAUUUAAAAGUACUAAAUCAUGCUAAAAUAAGUUUAAUAAGUAUUAGUUACAUUACUAAAUAUUUAAGAAAAAUUAAAAUUAGAUUAUGUAUUUUAAUUGUCUAAACCAAUGUAAAACUAAAGAACAAAUAUUCAAUAUUAUUGCCAUUCUUAGUGUUGAAUUGAUUUUCUUUUUGCAUUAGUAUUAAUUUAAUUUGAUUUAAGUUUAUUAUUAUCAACAUCUAUGAACUAUAAUCUUUAUUGGAUCAUUCCGAAUUCUAAGUUUAAACUUGAAAUAUUAUAUUAAAAGAUAAAACUAUGAAAUAAUAUAAGAAAUAUUUAAAUUAUAUCAAAGUAAAUAUUUUUAUGUAUAAAAUAAAAUUUUAAAAUUACAUAUAUAAUGUCGGGUUGGUUUGGUCUUCGGGUUGAUUUUUUUAGUUAAAACCAAACUAACCCAAAUAUAGUCGGGCUUUUUUUUUCAAUACCAAACCACUAGUCGGAUCUUUUUUCGAUUUAACUCAAUUUGCGAUUUAAUUCGAUUUUCAGUUCGAUUUUGGACACCCCUACUAGCCGCUAUAAAGGUCACGUAAAUGAUUUAUUUUACCUUUCACANNNNNNNNNNNNNNNNNNNNNNNNNNNNNNNNNNNNNNNNNNNNNNNNNNNNNAGUGCUAACAAAUACUUUUGCCAUUUAUCAAGUCAGCUGAGUUUAACUCUUGAAAAUUAUAGUUAGAGGAUAAUGAAAUAAAACAUAAUUUAAAUAUAAAAGUUGCAAAAAAUAUAUACUAAGAAUAGCCAUUAUCUUUUAUAUUUAUAAUAUAUUCGAUCCAUUGCACAUUAAAUAACCUCAAAACUCCUUUUCCCUUGAGUAAGUGUAUUCAGACGAAUUUAACCUUUAAUUUUAUUUUAUUUUUAGCAUAAACUCAUUAUCCUUUAAUCGAACCAAACUGAUUAAAUAAAUCAAUUUUAUUUGGAUUUGAGUUUGAUUUGAUUUAGAUUUUUUAAAAUCGAUAAUAUUUUGUUUGGUUUUGAUUUUAUUAAAAAAAAUAAAGAAAUAACCGAACCAAACCAAACCAAACCAAACCAAUAAAUUAUAUACAUAUAUGUUUUUAUCAUACAUGCAUAAUAAAUUAUAUUUAUAAACAAUUUUAAAGUAUCUUAUACUCUAUGUUUUCAUCAAAAUUUAUUAUAAUUUAUUUAUGAAAGCAAAAACGUUCAAAAUGAGAACAUUUAUUUUAUUGAUUUUGUGUAUAUCUUUACUCCCGCGUUUAACAUUUUCUUAAAAUUUUGUUCUCCCUGCAGAGCCUUGCCCCAUCCUACCAUGUCAUGUUUGGUUUAUGUUUUUGGAUUUUUUUCUCCUUUGAUGAUCAAUUUGACUUUAUCAUGUCUUACCAGCCAUAUAAUAUAUUUUUCAUCCUUUUAGAAAUCAAAUAUGUAGUCUUUACCACCCCCCCCCCCCCCCCCNNNNNNNNNNNNNNNNNNNNNNNNNNNNNNNNNNNNNNNNNNNNNNNNNNNNNNNNNNNNNNNNNNNNNNNNNNNNNNNNNNNNNNNNNNNNNNNNNNNNNNNNNNNNNNNNNCUUUCCCCCCCCCCCCCCCUUACUCUUCCCUAUUGCCAUCUCUACAUUUGUGGCAUCAUUUUACCAUUUUGUAGUCUUUAGUAUCUACAAUGUAUAUGGAAUAACUUAUUUCAUCACUAUAAUAUAAAUGGUGGAAUAAAUAAUUUAAAAACUACCUAAUACUUCCAACCAAACGCAAGAUAAAAUAAUCCUACAUUUUAUCUUGAAAUUAUUUUACCUUAUAUACCUCAGACCAAGUGACUCCUUAGUCAUAGUUGAUGUAGUAAACCUAUUAUACUUUCGAACUCUUUGCGGUUUCCAUAUAUACUAAAUAAACAAGUUGAAUAUAAUUUAAGAACUUAAUCAUACACUAUCUCUGCGCUGAGUGGGGUGGUGGAAGCUCCAUGCAUACAAUUUUCCCAUUACUUCCUAAUCAAAUGAGAUAAGAAAAUUCUUUUCUUCUUUUCACUAUGAAAAGAAGCCCAGUGUCAUUUCAUUGAAUAUAACAUGGGAAAUUGAAAUAGGAGUCUAAAAAUGAUCAUGGUUACAUUACAUCAAGUAAAGUACCUUGUAGUCUCCAAGGAACAUGUUUAUCAAGUGCACAUGCGUUUCUACGGGUACAAAACUGAAGGAGAUGAAGUACAUUUAACAUUUUUUGGAAUAAUGUCUAAUCAAUUAAAAGUAAGCAACGGUAAUGAUGCCACUGUUAGAGAACUUUACUUAACUUGCACUCUAACUAUAAUUUUAGUUUUAUUUUUCUAAUUAAAAGGUCAUUAGGUAGAUUAUUUGUAAGCACUGUUUUAACUUUGAAGCACACAGAAAAUGCAGUACGAGAAAUGACUCAAAAAUGUCCUCUUUACACCUAUUGGAUUAGAUUUUUUAUUUAAGGACAUUUUUGAGCAAUUUUUAGUGUUUUAAGGGGCAUUUUAAAAUCAAAUAGUGGAAGAAGGGACAAAUCUGAUCAAAUACAAAUAGUAAACAAAAUAUCUAACAUUUUUUUAAAAAGUAUAAACAUCGCAGUAGUGUAAAGUAUUACUCCCUCUGUUUCAAUUUAUUUGUCCUUUUUUGACUUGAUACGAAGUUUAAGAAAAUAAAAAAAAAUACUUUUGAAUCUCAUGAUCUUAAAUUAAAGAUAUGCAAAUCUUGUAGCCUUCAACAUGUAAUGUAAAAAAUUAAAAUUAAAAAAUUGUCAAAAAAAAAAAGACAUUUUUUUUUAAACGGACUAAAAAAGACGAUAGGAUAAACAAAUUCAAAUGGAGAGUGUGCUAUAAAACUACACAUUUUAAAGAAUCCCAAUUUCUUAAAAAAGAUAUUACUAUCACACCACACAUAUUACCUUUUUAAAAGUAAAUAAUCAAUAAUCAUUAUCAGUUGAAAUUUAAAACAUAACUCUUCCGUGAAUAAAUACAAAAUUACUUUCAGAUUACAAAAUAAUAGAAGUGUGAUAAUUUUGAGAGAUUUAGAACUAAGACAUGAAGAUCAAUAAAAUUGAAGAGAUACACUUGACUUGUCUAGCUAUUUAGAAAGAUGUUCAAAUGAUACUCAUCCUCACAAUGUGCUCAAUUAGCAAGAAAGAAAUACUGACUCACUAUUUGAGUCAUUCACAUCUUCAUAUUCUAUUGAUGAAUUGAACAUCUAUUAUUCGUUUGUUAAAGAAUUUGAGGAUUAACAAUGCUAACUAGGGAAUUUGACUCAUGAUUUUGAUAGGAAUUGUUGAGGGAAUCCCGAGCACGUGUCUAGGACACACAAUCAGACGCUUAGAGUGUAAGCCUCACAAGGGACAUGUGAGUGUUAGGGCGUUUAGUGCCCCUCCCAGGGGCCGGACCCAAAAAAAAAAACCUUUUAAAACAGAGUUUGUAAGCAACAGAGAGAAACACGAAGUAGCAUUUGAAUGCAAAACUUCACAUACCCUUUUGCCAACUUUUGGAUUUCGUAAUUGGUAAAGAUUCCACAUUCUUAUUAUUUUUUUGGCGUAAAGCCCUAGUUGCCACUCUGUCUUGAGAAUCUAGCUAUAUUAUUGGAAAGCAACUUGAUACUACACCAGAAAUACUGUUGUUUUUUUUAGGCUUUUGUUUACAUCACAACAAGAAGAACAAAAUUUGAUUGGAACAUGAAGUGGGAAAUUCAUAGUUCAAAAAAGUAGUCUAAUACUUUGAGGAUACCAGUGAUAAUAUAAAAUAAUUUUUCCACUAUCAAUGUAAAAGUUUCAACGAUUUAAGUCAAACCUUUUGAUUAGGUAACAUGAUGUAGUCCAAUUUUACAAGACGUUUGGAUAUUCCUUUCAUGUGCAAGAAUCUGGUACAGGAGAAAGAACAAAAUGGUGAUGGUCAAUUUAUUUAUCUUUUUAAGCUUGACGAUAACGAUAUUGCCUUUCACAACUUCAUCAUCAUCAUGUGAAGAGACCAAAUGAUGUGGGCAAUCUAGUAAUAAGAGAUUCUUUCCACUAACAGAUUUUUCCUAUUCUAAAGAGAUGCUGCUUGCUGUAAAUAACAAUCAUACUAGCGGUUACAAACCCUAAUAAGAGAGAUCAUGACUAAAUCGACUGGAGCUUAGUGCUAUAUCUAGUAAGAAAAUAUCAUGCUCAAUGGGUCCUAGAGGAUGGAUUAUGACACUAAGAUACACAAAAUCUCUUUUUUGCUGUUAAUUUUGACUUUAAUUAUCUACAGUUAGUUCACAAACUAUAGGUUAUUAGUUAAUAAUUAUGAUUAGAUAACAAUAAACAAGUUUUGUUUUAUCUGGUCAAAAGUGGGAAAAGAAUAAACUAAAGCAGGUGUGGGACAAGGAACAAUAGCAUUGGUCGAAUGUCAAAACGUUUGUACAGUAGAGUUAGUUGUUUAAACUUUCAGACAUAAGCAACAUAGACCCCCAUUUGGUGGUUAGUGCUUAACAUCAUCUCCUAUCAAAACGUUAAGUUUCUUUCAACUUGUUCCACGUCAUGGGACAAAUGGAAGCUCUUAUCUUAUCUACCAUUUGUGUGUGGAAGGGAAUAUAAAAAGCAUUGUCGGUUUUUUUAACUUCUAUGAUACAAUGCUUGAAACUUAGGGACCAAAAUGUGCAACAUUUUAGCAGCAUAAAUGCCACAACUCACCGUAUAAGACGGUACCUGUUGGAAAUGUUAUUAUGAUGCAAAAAGAAUUACAGUAUCUCUUCUUAUCUUAGUGAAAUUAGGAGGGGGAUGGUGCCUGUAGUAAAUGGGGCAGGGCGAGGCAAACCCGCAUAAACCUAUCUUGUUGUUUUCAACCCGCCCCACCCUGCAUAAUUCAAUUGAUUUUUUACAUAUAUAAAAAUGUUUUCAUUCAAACUACUUUAGUUAGUUGACAUCAUUAUUUAUUAUAACAACUACAGUGAUCAAAACAUGUUUAAUUGAAGCAUGAGAUAUAAAGAAAAAAAAUUCUAACAGAAAUUAAUUAAUUAGCUACAACCUAAUAGACUUUAGAAACUUAAACUGCAUGAUGCAAAGCUCAAUUUAGAUUAUUGACAUGUAUGAUGUACCCGUAGAAAAUGAUCAAACACAAAAAUUCAUGAACUGGGUUUUCAAAAUAUUCAUAUCAACAGCAACUAUAGGCCUAAAAAGGGGAAAAAACAAAGCAAGAAGGUAUAAAAAUUAGAGCUUUAACAGAAAAAAAACACAACAGUACUUAGUAAUUAUUAGCGGGGAAGCAUUACAUUAAAAUAAUGAGUAAAUACGACAGGGAUAUAGUAAAAUUAAAUAAAAGAAGACAACAAAACCACAACCUGCCCCACAUUAGUUUUUCAAAACCAUAUUUCAACCCACCCCGCACACGCAUAACGCCAAACCCAUCCUGCCCCGCACCCACCCCGCCCCAUUGCCAUCCCUAGGUGCCUGAACUGCAAUUUGAUGACUCUAUUAAGAAAAGUGCAAUAAUUCAAUAUUGAUAAGUAGUCAUUUGCCAGAGGUGUAACUAAACUGCACAUGGAUGGUUUCAUCACAAUGUGACAACAUUACUUCAGUUCAAAUGACUUAAUCACUUAACAUUACCUUCAAUUCAAAUAACUUAAUUACUUUUAGUCAAUAUUACCAUUCAGACAUGGAGACAAAGGGGGUUUCUUCUAGAAUAACCUGAGUGAAAAGGAAACAGUGAGCUUUGUGACCUGAAAGAUGGAAACCUUGUGUUCUUUUUCUCAAGUCAAAUGCACGUUCCUAACUAAUUGCUGAGACUUGUAUAGGAUAGAGGUGAAAUGUCACUCAUGUAACCUUUGUACAGGGCAAAGUUGUAGUGGAUUGAAGGCAUAAGACAGGUACAAUAACAAAAGCAAGUAUGCACAUGUACCCCCAACUAAAGACACUAAAGAGUAAGAGGAAAACAACCUUACACAACAAGAGUCCAAAAAUAACUAACUAACCAAAGGGGAGGUAGGUUUUAACACUUAGUUAUACAUAGGAGAUGUGGAAACCAAAGUGGGGAGGGAUAUUGAAAGCAUGUACAAAUAAGGAUAUGAAAAUUGAAAGAAGACAGUUGUAUUAACUUUUCAAGACAAAGGGUGUGCUACAAUUUAAAAUGGAGUUUGGCCUUGGAAUCUUUUGGAUACACGAGAAUAACCAUAGAUGUAAACAUCGCUGGAAGGUUUUUGCUUAACCUAAAAACACCAACUAGCAUGUGAGAAGGGCUCAAUCAUGGGACCACCACCAUUAACAUAGUUUUAGAUUCCAUCAUUAGCAUGAGAAAAGGCAUUACCUAAUUCUAAUUAUCAAAAGGAACAAUAAUAGUUAGGCCACUUUGUACUCCAAUGUACUAAAGGUUGCAACUCACAAUAAGAAAAUCAGAAUACUAUGAUAAUACCCCGUUCACUUCAGAUUUGCUUUAAAUAAGAUAUCCUAUACAAAUAGAAAAGUAAUUAUUUCUAUGCAUUACAAAUAGAAAAUUCCCAUCAUUUGACUCAGAUUGAUCCUAAGUGGUUAUGAGAAGUCAAUUAAAAUGUCUCCUUAGUGGCUUCCUCCCAAAGUAAUAAUGAAAAUACAGACCUUGAAUGCAUAUGACGGAAGGCCCCAACCCAAGGUAAAGUUUGAACCCCUUGAGUAGUUCAACAUACAGUGCAAAAGUGGUAUAAUACAUAAAACAGAAAGGUAAAAGGAUAACAAGAAAGAACCUGUCAUUAACAAAAACACACGUGAACCAUAUUUACAGUUCAAUACCAAAACAUUUUCAGGCCAGAAUAUAUCAGUAACCUAGGUUGCUCGGACUCUCCAAAAAUGUUACCACACCCAUGUCGGAUCCUCCAAAAAAUGCACUACUUUUGGAGGAUUUGACACGCUCUUGGUGGCAUUUUUGAAGAGUCCGAGCAACAUAGACAGUAACGUAAUAUUCAAGCAUAGUUCUUUAAGAAGGAGAAGUGGAUAUUUCAUUACAUUUGCUGUGAAGUGGAUAUGUUCUUACAUACUUGGAAAAAGGACAAACUGUAGCCACAACAGUUGGACCAGGAGAGCACACCUUAUUACUCAAUGUAAAUAAUAUUCACCGUGCUUCAUUACAUAGCUCAACUCCAGUUCUAAACUUUCAACAACCAGUAACUCAGAAAUCCACCACCACCUCCAGCCCCUAUAAAUAUCCUUGUUCCUGGACACUCAAGUUAGUGUCUCUCAGUAUCUCCUUCCCUCUCUUCCUCUCUCGCUCUCUCUAUCUAUAUAUCUCUCCUUCUCUAUAUAUCUUUCAUAAGUGCAUGUGAGUGGGUAGUAUUUGUGCAUGGAUACAGAAGUGCAUGCAGAAAAAGGAUUUAUACACAAUUAAGCUCUCUCUAUAACACUCCAAAACAAGCAACAAGAGAUAAGAGGAAGAAGCUUAAAGAAGAUGGCAGCAGAACAGAUCAAAAAGCACCCGACAUUACCAGAGGUACAAACUACAGAAUCCUUUUAAAACAUUUGUAAUCACAGGAAAUAUGUGUAUUAAUCACCCUGACAAGCACAAUUUCCCCCCAUAAUUUCUAGGUCAAGGAGGAAUUGAAGAAAAUAAUUGACAGAGGUUUUCCUAUACUUGCUAUGGGCUUGGCAACCUAUUUGAAAAACAUGAUUUUAGUUGUGUGCAUGGGAAGGCUGGGAAGCUUGGAGCUGGCAGGGGGUGCACUGGCCAUUGGCUUCACCAAUAUUACUGGUUACUCAGUCUUGUCUGGCCUAGCCUUGGGGAUGGAACCACUUUCUAGCCAGGCUUUUGGAUCAAGAAACUUAACUUUAGUGUCUCUUGCCCUCCAAAGGACAAUCUUUAUGUUAUUAACUGCAUCUAUACCUAUUGCCUUUUUAUGGUUUAAUUUUGAGUCUCUCAUGCUAAAGCUACACCAAGACUCACAAAUAAUACAUGUAGCAAGUGUAUUUUGCAGAUUUGCUGUCCCAGAUCUUAUUGCUAACAGCUUUCUUCACCCUUUACGCAUCUACUUACGGUGUAAAGGUACAACAUGGCCUCUAUUAUGGUGUACUUCACUUGCAACAAUGCUGCAUUUCCCUAUCACAGUUUACCUGACUUUUACUCUGAGUCUUGGGAUCCAAGGAAUUGCAAUUUCAACCUUUGUCUCCAACUUUGUCACCUUAUUCUUCCUUUUAGGCUAUAUAUUCUUUACUUAUGACCAAAACGGAUCUCCAUCAAAACCCCUAGCAGAAAAUGUAAAACUUCUUCCUUCCAUUUCUGUGGGAGAACAAUGGAUAAUGCUUCUUCAACUUGCUAUACCUAGCUGUUUAGCAGUUUGCUUAGAGUGGUGGUGGUAUGAAUUCAUGACAGUUCUAGCCGGCUACCUUGACAGACCUGAAGUUCCACUUGCUGCAUCUGCUAUCGUUAUACAAACCACAUCCCUCAUGUACACAUUACCUUCGGCCCUAAGUGCUUCAGUCUCAAGCAGGGUAGGGAAUGAACUUGGAGCGGGACGGCCAGCUAAGGCCCGCUUGGCAACAGGGAUAGCCAUAGGGCUGGCCUUUUUGACUUCAACAUUUGGAUUCAUACUGACCACCCUAGGGAGAGAAGCAUGGGGAAGAGUCUUUACAAAAGAUAGAGAAGUUCUGGAGCUAACAGCGACCGUUCUUCCCAUUAUUGGACUUUGUGAACUAGCUAAUUGUCCACAGACAACAUGUUGUGGGGUUCUUCGGGGGAGUGCUAGGCCCGGUGUUGGUGCAGGUAUUAACUUUUACUCGUUCUAUUUGAUGGGAACACCAGUGGCCAUCACUUUGGCCUUCGUUUGGAAGCUAGGAUUUUUGGGCCUUUGUUAUGGGCUUCUAGCAGCUCAAGUGGCAUGUGUAAUCUCAAUGUUAAUAGUCACUUAUAGUACUGAUUGGGAAGGAGCAUCAUUGAAGGCAAAAGAACUAGUGGGAAGAUCUAAUGAACUCCCAUAUGAAGAUCAACUGGUAAAAUUUGAGGAGGGUAAUGGAUUUCUCAAAAGAUUUAGCUUCUGAAGAGGAAGGAAAUCUAAGGAUGCAAUGGAUGGAAAGGAAAAGGAAGAGAUGGCACAGACAAGAAGAAAGCGAAGAACAUUACAUCCUCUCAGUAUUUCGAGUCAUAGAAUAUGCAACAUGUACCUUGGACUUUUGACGUUAAAGCAACUAGUUUCAUAUCUAACAGGAUUGUUGAUGGGAUAAUGGAAGUAUAGGCGAGCAGAAGUGUGUUUUAUAGCCCAAAUGUGUAAAUGUAAGAGGCUUUUGGUUUGCAUUUUCUAGAUAUCAAUAUAUGUUAUCUUAGUAGCUAUGACAUAAACAUUUGCAUGAGCUUCUAGUUUCUAUUUUACAGUUAUCAGACUAACCAUCACAACAUGCUUCAAAUUCAAUGCACCCUCUCUCCCUCCCUUCUUAAAAUUUGAGACAGAAAAGGAGUGCAUUUUAUCUCUGCAUUUGUGGGGCAUAAGCUCUAAAAGAAGAAGCAAAAGCCCUAUGAACUUCAAUUUUGGAUUAUCAAAUAUUAUUUGAAUAUUUAAAAGAUACUUUAGGAGAAAAAAAUAUUCAUUGUUAGGGGAACAAUCUUAUAAAUGGAACAAUUUUGAAUAGAAUAUUAUACUUCUCUAGGAGAAAUCAAUUACAGAAGUGAUAUAUUUUUUCUGAAGAUGUAAAGGUUUACUACAACACAUAUUUAGCUCAUAACAUUGAUUUUGUCAUUUUCACCUUUACUCCAUAUCUUUCACACAGUAAAACAUUUUGUGUACUUGUAAGUCUCUAUAAUAAGACAUUAGCUCAAAUUAACAUUGAUUUUCCUUAGGUAACCAAAAAUUGAGAUACAAAAGGAGCAGUCAGUAGAGAGAUACGAACAAACAGGGUCUGCAGUGAGAGGCCAACAGGAAUAAAAAAAUUUAAAGCCCGGGUGCGAUUUGAUAAUAUUGCCCUAAUGAGAGCCCAGUGCCUUUUAACAUGUUGGUAAGUAUAUAUAUUUCAAAAUCAUAAGUUCAUAACUAUCUGUAGAAAAUGAAAAUUAAAAGAGACCAAGAGAAAAAACUGAACAUAAGACACUAUGAAUUAUGCAAGAGCAUUAAAAUAAAUGUCAAAGACUUUCUUCACUUCUUCCACAACAUUCAUAUAAAAAUACACAGAUUGUGCUCUGCCGAGCCCCUAUACACCCCCUAAUGGCUUCUGAAAUUCAGUGUCUCUACACAUUGGGAGGCAAACUACACAAAGUGGAAAUGUAACUGACUUGGUAGCAGUGUUAUCAAAGGCGAAAAGCACAAAAAAGCUCUAAGGUCUGUUGGGGCUUUAAGCGCAAAGUGCAAAUGAAGCGUGGGCUUUAAUGAAAAAAGGCGCAAAGGGAGAAAAAAAUACAAAUAUAUAUGUUUAGUUCAAGACUAAUAAUUAUAAACAUGAAUGACAAUUAUAUGACCAAAGAAAUUGAUUUUUUUAUGAUAAAGUGAAAUAUCAAUUGUUUAGUGUCACCUCUGACGAGGACGCUCAUUGGCAAGGAAAAAUAUGCAUUAGAACCUUGAUGACAACACUAAAGCGCACAUAAAGCGAGGCGAGGCGCUCAAUACGUUUUGAGCCUUGCUUCAGGGCUCAAGUGUGCCUUUGAUAACACUGCUUGGUAGCAAACAUGGUGUAACAACUGUUUUGUUAACUAGUGAGUUAUCACAACCACUGCAGUCUCUAACUCGAGGCAUUACAAGGAUUCAAAUGGGGAUAACCUAGAGUUAUGCGUUGUAACGGACAGAAUAUCACGUAUACAACAGGAGCUAUAUGUCUAGAAUCCAUUAACUCACCACUAAAUUCAUGUGAUAUUUGGUUAUUUUUCACCCUUUGUCAUGCUAUACUAUUUCCAAAUGAAUUUAACUCGAGUUGUGUGCCUGCACCCGCUGCUUUCUAUACACAUCCAUCUAUGCUCUUUCUGCUCUAUCCUCCCUCUUUGUAGAUUUGAUCAAGCAAAAGCCUUUACCUUUUUGUUUUGAAUCCCUAUACCCGAACUCCUUCACAUAUUCUUUUCUCUGUGUAGAGUUACAACAAUUCCAAUACACUAUUAGCACUUAACUAUGUGUCCCUUUUCUUUUACCUUCCAAUUCCCAAAAGCUAACAACCAUAAGUGCCUCAACAGUGUAAAAAAGAAAAGACCUUUCUCAACAAUCCUUAACGACUAGGGAUAUUUGGAUAAAACUUUCAAACUCUAAUUUCUCUUCCUUCAUUCACUUGUAAAUUCUUUCAUGUGUAAUACUCGCCAUUCAGAUUGCUAGGGACUGCCAUUUUUAGCUAUGUAUUACGCACUUGAUGUUAAUGUAAGUUUCAACGGAUAGAACACAUUAUCAGAGAUUCGUUGAGUCUAAUUUGUACCAUCUAACCUCGAAAAAAAAAGGAUCUGAAUGUGGAUCAUCAAAACAGAAGAAAUUCAUCCACAACUAUAUAUAUGCUCAUUAAACACUCCAAUUUUAUUUGACGUAUUCACUGAGAGUUCAUGCAUUGUCUUGUUACCUGUCCAUACCAGUAGUCCUAGUAUUGUUGUUGUAGUUUCUUGUAAUUCAAUUAUCUUAUUACUAUGCCGUAGUAACUGUUCAGAAUGCUUUGCUAUACUUUUUCUGGAUUGCCUUCAAUUGUUUUUUUCCCUAAAACCUCUCUACCUCAAUCUCCCCAGACUCCACUUUGUGGGACUGACUACAUUGAGUCAAUGCUAGAAGAAAUAGAAUUUGUAGAAAUUUCAUAAUCAGAGCAGUUCAACUAAAGGAAAAUGACAGAGUAUUGCCCUAUUUUGGACUAAACGCAAUUUCAAGUGCCAAUUUAUAACAACUAAGGAUUUCAAUUCUCGUGACAAAAAUGUAAAAGGAGUAAAAUGCGAAAGAGAGAAAACGAGCUUACCGGUGAUCACAGAGGAUAAAUAAUCGGAGAUUCCACCGGACGGAGCUCAACGUCGGAGCAAAAUUAAAUUUUCCAACGAAACGCUGUUACAAAAACGUGAUUUCACAGAUCGUAAACAACUUCUCCGUGAUCUAUUCUUAUUGGGCUUAGAUAUCACGGCUCGUUUAGAUGGG
rnacentral:lncRNA from 1 species